rnacentral:sRNA from 1 species
AUUUCUAAACAUUUGUCAUUUCUUAAAAUAAAUAUUUUAUUAAUUAACAAUUUGAUUUUUAGUAAAUCCAAAUUCAUAAUGCAAUGUUUGGUUUUUAAAAAUUGAAUGAAUAAUAAGUAUAUUUUAAAAUCAUUAAUAAAAUUUAUUGUUACAUAAAUUUAAUUCUAAAUUUAUUUUAUAAUAAUAAUAAUAAAUAACAGUCACAGUUUCUAAAGUAUUGUUCUACCAAUCAAAUUUUAAUAGCCAAAGUUUCUACAGCCAAAGUUUUUACAGCCAAAUUCUCUAUAGCUCAAAAUUUUUAAAUCAAAACUUCUAAAGCCAAAAGCAGUGUUUAAGAAAACGUUAGGCACUAAUCGAAUAAUAACUCAAUGUCUAGGGUCUAGAACGCUUAAUCGGGGCUUAAACGAUUAUAGACGUGAAAGCUUAACGUCGACUGCCUAAACC